rnacentral:rRNA from 1 species
CCUACGGGUGGCAGCAGUAGGGAAUCUUCCGCAAUGGGCGAAAGCCUGACGGAGCAACGCCGCGUGAGUGAAGAAGGAUUUCGGUUCGUAAAGCUCUGUUGUUAGGGAAGAAUGAUUGUGUAGUAACUAUACACAGUAGAGACGGUACCUAACCAGAAAGCCACGGCUAACUACGUGCCAGCAGCCGCGGUAAUACGUAGGUGGCAAGCGUUGUCCGGAAUUAUUGGGCGUAAAGCGCGCGCAGGUGGUUUAAUAAGUCUGAUGUGAAAGCCCACGGCUCAACCGUGGAGGGUCAUUGGAAACUGUUAAACUUGAGUGCAGGAGAGAAAAGUGGAAUUCCUAGUGUAGCGGUGAAAUGCGUAGAGAUUAGGAGGAACACCAGUGGCGAAGGCGGCUUUUUGGCCUGUAACUGACACUGAGGCGCGAAAGCGUGGGGAGCAAACAGGAUUAGAUACCCUUGUAGUC